rnacentral:lncRNA from 1 species
GGGUUGAUAUCCAGAAGCUAGAAGAUAUUGCAGCUGACAUUAAAAAGGGUCUUGCUGCAAAGAGAAAAAGGAUUGAAAGCGUUGCAAAAGCUUGCAACGAAACAAACAACAAAAUUAAACGUAUUUUGAGAACAAUACAACUAAAAAUAAUACAUCACAGGUGAGCAGAAAGAUGAAGAAGAAAGAAGAAGGAGCCGAAUACCCUUGAAGAAUACAUCACAGGUGAGCAGAAAGAUGAAGAAGAGAGAAGAAGGAGAAGAACUAAUUAGAAUAUUUCAAGAGCAACAAAAGAGACGGCAACAAGAUGGGAAAGGAACUGAAAGAGAUUGA